rnacentral:tRNA from 1 species
GGCAUGGUGGCUCAGUGGUUAAGAGUGCCCGCCUCAUGAACGGGAGGUCGUGGGUUCGAACCCCGGCCGAGUCA